AUUGAACGCUGGCGGCAUGCCUUACACAUGCAAGUCGAACGGUAACAGGUCUUCGGAUGCUGACGAGUGGCGAACGGGUGAGUAAUACAUCGGAACGUGCCCGAUCGUGGGGGAUAACGGAGCGAAAGCUUUGCUAAUACCGCAUACGAUCUACGGAUGAAAGCAGGGGACCGCAAGGCCUUGCGCGGACGGAGCGGCCGAUGGCAGAUUAGGUAGUUGGUGGGAUAAAAGCUUACCAAGCCGACGAUCUGUAGCUGGUCUGAGAGGACGACCAGCCACACUGGGACUGAGACACGGCCCAGACUCCUACGGGAGGCAGCAGUGGGGAAUUUUGGACAAUGGGCGCAAGCCUGAUCCAGCCAUGCCGCGUGCAGGAUGAAGGCCUUCGGUUGUAAGACUCUUUGUUGUCGGGAGGAAUAAUAGACGGUACCGACCGAAGAAAUAACGACCCCGGCCGUAACCUUACGUUCGUCCGACGACGACGCCGACCGGUAAAAGGUAGGUGUGUACGUGAC
rnacentral:rRNA from 1 species